UAGAAAUUACUAUGUAGGUACAUAAACACAAGACAAAAUAACAUGGUAUGAAAAUCUCUUCUAAAUUUUAAUGGACUAUACCCACAAGCAUCGUGCUUCUUCCGAUUGGUCUGUAAAUUCCCGCCAAAAUGUAUUACUUUUAAAUAGGUUAUCAUCAUAUUUUAUAGAAAUUCACCAUAAUUUCUACUAUUUUUUUUUUAUCUACAUGCAUAUGAUUUAAUAACCUAAAUUACCUAAACAAAUAAAUAUUACACAAAACACAACGUAAUAAACAAUAAUUAAAUAUUAAUGAUAACAGUUAUGAUUGCUGAUAAGGUAACUAACGGCAUGAUGCCUAACGUCACACGACUGAGUAUCACGUUAAUCAUUAAUGUCAUUAUGCCAUGUUAUUUUAUCAUGUAUACUAGGCGAUCCCGUGCACUUGGUUGCCCGUUAAAAAUGCCAACUCUUUAUGAGACUCGCUUGUCAUAAUAUAAAAAGUGAAUAACAAGUUUUAUUUUUAUUUAUUUUGAUACUGUGAACACUCCAUGAGCGGCUACUUGUAGCAACUCGGCUACUUUGGUUGGCAAUGUGCAACAAUUCGAUUUGACGCAUACUUAAUUAGCCAAUGGCAACCAACAAAUAAAAAUAAAUACUAGUGUCUACUGAAAAAUUAAGAAAGUUGCUCGGAAAAUUAGUUAUUAAUUAAAAUCAGUUUCCAAAAUUGUAUACUUAUACACACGGUGGCCCGCGGGUUUCCAGCUACCUGUGACCUGACCUUUUUGUCUAUCAAAUUAGGUGAUUGACUUGCUCUUGUAUAUCUUUGACUUGUAGCAUUGCGAGUUCUGUGACUUAGUUUGUAAGUCUAAUUGCCGGUAUUUUUAAAAACAAAAAUAUUCCAUCAAAACUUCUUAAAAUAUUAAGCUUGAUUGUUUUGAACCAACCAUGAUGAACAAACACUUAUCAAAAAACUUACUAUACAAUUACAGUAGAACCUCGAUUAUCCGAACUAAUUGGGACCGCACCUAGUUCGGAUACGCAAAAGUUCGGAUAUUGGAAAUUUAAAAAAAAAAUUUAGAAUUACAUAAGCCUGUUGCGUUUUGGUUAUCUACUAAUGAUUGACGCACGUAAAAUACAUAACCUGUACUAAUAAUAAUCCAAAAAGGCAAAAACGAUAGUUAUGAUAAAUUCGAUAAACCGGCCGACCGGCCGGAUACGAAUUUUCAUGUUCGGAUAA